rnacentral:rRNA from 1 species
AAACCAACAGGGAUUGCCUUAGUAACGGCGAGUGAAGCGGCAAAAGCUCAAAUUUGAAAUCUAGUACCUUCGGUGCUCGAGUUGUAAUUUGAAGAUAGUUUUCUGGAGUUGGCCCUUGUCUAUGUUCCUUGGAACAGGACGUCAUAGAGGGUGAGAAUCCCGUCUGAUGGGGUGUCCAAUUCUUUGUAGAUUUCUAUCGAAGAGUCGAGUUGUUUGGGAAUGCAGCUCUAAGUGGGUGGUAAAUUCCAUCUAAAGCUAAAUACUGGCGAGAGACCGAUAGCGAACAAGUACAGUGAUGGAAAGAUGAAAAGAACUUUGAAAAGAGAGUGAAAAAGUACGUGAAAUUGUUGAAAGGGAAGGGUAUUGGAUCAGACUUUGGUGUUUUGUGAUUUAUCUUCCCUUCUUGGGUUGUGCACUCGCAUUUCACUGGGCCAGCAUCGGUUCGGAUGGCAAGAUAAUGGCUUGGGAACGUGGCACUCCUCGGAGUGUGUUAUAGCCCUUGUUGAUGUUG